rnacentral:rRNA from 1 species
UACGGAGGGAGCAAGCGUUACUCGGAAUUAUUGGGCGUAAAGGGCGCGUAGGCGAUUUGAAAAGUCUUGUGUGAAAGCCCCGAGCUUAACUCGGGAAGUGCACAAGAAACUGUUGAAUUUGAGUUCCGGAGAGGAAGGCAGAAUUCCCGGUGUAGCGGUGAAAUGCGUAGAUAUCGGGAGGAAUACCAGUGGCGAAGGCGGCCUUCUGGACGGAUACUGACGCUGAGGCGCGAAAAGCGUGGGGGAGCGAACAGG